rnacentral:rRNA from 1 species
UACGGAAUGUGCAAACGUUAUUCGGAAUCACUGGGCUUAAAGAGUCCGUAGGCGGCAUGUUAGGUGAGGUGUGAAAUCCCACGGCUCAACCGUGGAAUUGCGCUUCAUACCGGCGUGCUAGAGGAAGAUAGAGGUGGGCGGAACUGAUGGUGGAGCGGUGAAAUGCGUUGAUAUCAUCAGGAACACCGGAGGCGAAGGCGGCCCACUGGGUCUUUUCUGACGCUGAGGGACGAAAGCUAGGGGAGCGAACGGG